rnacentral:lncRNA from 1 species
CAAGUGGCACAAGGUAUGACGGUGAUGGUUAUAAAAGCGAGAAGCUACGAGUGUACUCUGAGUUUGAACCUAGGCCAAGUGCUACAAAGUAUGAUGGUGAUGGUGAAGGUUAUAAGACUAUUAAACUACCAGGGAAUGACGAAUUUGAACCCAUACCAAGUGUUACAAGGUAUGAUGGUGAUGGUUAUAAGAGUAUGAAACUAUCGGGGAAUGAUGAGUUUGAACCCAGACCAAGUGUUACAAGGUAUGACGGUGACGGUUAUCAGAGUACAAAACUAUCGGUGAAUAAUGAGUUUGAACCUAUACCAAGUGUUACAAAGUAUGGCGGUGAUGGUUAUAAGAAUACCAAAUUAUCGGUGAAUAGUGAGUUUGAACCCAUACCAAGUGUUACAAGUUAUGGCAGUGAUGGCUAUAAGAGUAUGAAACUACCGGUUAAUGACGAGUUUGAACCCAGACCAAGUGCUACAAAGUAUGAUGGUGAUGGUUAUCAGAGUACAAAACUAUCGGUGAACAGUGAGUUUGAACCCAUACCAAGUGUUACAAGUUAUGGCAGUGAUGGCUAUAAGAGUAUGAAACUACCGGUUAACGACGAGUUUGAAC